GGGGGGGGGGGGGGGGGGGGGGAGGGGGGGGGGGGCGAAGGGGGGGGCGUGGGGGGGGCGCUGGGGGGGUGGGGGGCGGGCGGGGGGGUAAUACGUGAGUAACCUGCCCUUGACUCUGGGAUAAGCCUGGGAAACUGGGUCUAAUACUGGAUACGACAUGCCACUGCAUGGUGGUGUGUGGAAAGGGUUUUACUGGUUUUGGAUGGGCUCACGGCCUAUCAGCUUGUUGGUGGGGUAAUGGCCCACCAAGGCGACGACGGGUAGCCGGCCUGAGAGGGUGACCGGCCACACUGGGACUGAGACACGGCCCAGACUCCUACGGGAGGCAGCAGUGGGGAAUAUUGCACAAUGGGCGGAAGCCUGAUGCAGCGACGCCGCGUGAGGGAUGACGGCCUUCGGGUUGUAAACCUCUUUCAGCACGGAAGAAGCGAGAGUGACGGUACGUGCAGAAGAAGCGCCGGCUAACUACGUG
rnacentral:rRNA from 1 species